rnacentral:rRNA from 1 species
CUUGCUCUUCAGAUCGAGUGGCGAACGGGUGAGUAACGCGUGAGGAACCCGCCUCAAAGAGGGGGACAACAGUUGGAAACGACUGCUAAUACCGCAUAAGCCCACGGCUCGGCAUCGAGCAGAGGGAAAAGGAGUGAUCCGCUUUGAGAUGGCCUCGCGUCCGAUUAGCUGGUUGGUGAGGUAACGGCCCACCAAGGCGACGAUCGGUAGCCGGACUGAGAGGUUGAACGGCCACAUUGGGACUGAGACACGGCCCAGACUCCUACGGGAGGCAGCAGUGGGGAAUAUUGCACAAUGGGGGAAACCCUGAUGCAGCGACGCCGCGUGGAGGAAGAAAGUCUUCGGAUUGUAAACUCCUGUUGUUGAGGAAGAUAAUGACGGUACUCAACAAAGGAAGUGACGGCUAACUACGUGCCAGCAGCCGCGGUAAAACGUAGGUCACAAGCGUUGUCCGGAAUUACUGGGUGUAAAGGGAGCGCAGGCGGGAGAACAAGUUGGAAGUGAAUCCAUGGGCUCAACCCAUGAACUGCUUUCAAAACUGUUUUUCUUGAGUAGUGCAGAGGUAGGCGGAAUUCCCGGUGUAGCGGUGGAAUGCGUAGAUAUCGGGAGGAACACCAGUGGCGAAGGCGGCCUACUGGGCACCAACUGACGCUGAGGCUCGAAAGUGUGGGUAGCAAACAGGAUUAGAUACCCUGGUAGUCCACACCGUAAAGGAUGAUUAUUAGGUGUCGGAGGAUUGACCC